UCCUGACAGCAACAGCUGACAAUAGCCAAGACAGGAGAUCAUAAUG
rnacentral:ncRNA from 1 species